AGUGAACGCUGGCGGCAGGCCUAACACAUGCAAGUCGAACGGCAGCACAGUAAGAGCUUGCUCUUACGGGUGGCGAGUGGCGGAUGGGUGAGGAAUACAUCGGAAUCUACUUUUUCGUGGGGGAUAACGAAGGGAAACAUACGCUAAUACCGCAUACGACCUACGGGUGAAAGCAGGGGAUCUUCGGAGCUUGCGCGUUUGAUUGAGCCGAUGUCGGAUUAGCUAGUUGGCGGGGUAAAGGCCCACCUAGGCGACGAUCCGUAGCUGGUCUGAGAGGAUGAUCAGCCACACUGGAACUGAGACACGGUCCAGACUCCUACGGGAGGCAGCAGUGGGGAAUAUUGGACAAUGGGCGCAAGCCUGAUCCAGCCAUGCCGCGUGGGUGAAGAAGGCCUUCGGGUUGUAAAACCCUUUUGUUGGGGAAGAAAAGCUGCGGGUUAAUACCCGGCUGUUCUGACGGUACCCAAUGAAUAAGCACCGGCUAACUUCGUG
rnacentral:rRNA from 1 species